rnacentral:rRNA from 1 species
CCCUAGAUGUUCUGGGCCGCACGCGCGCUACACUGAUGCAUUCAACGAGCCUAUCCUUGACCGACAGGUCCGGGUAAUCUUUGAAUCUGCAUCGUGACGGGGAUAGAUUAUUGCAAUUAUUAAUCUUCAACGAGGAAUGCCUAGUAGGCGCAAGUCAUCAGCUUGCGUCGAUUACGUCCCUGCCCUUUGUACACACCGCCCGUCGCUCCUACCGAUUGGGUGUGCUGGUGAAAUGUUCGGAUCGGCCGUUUGUCGCGGUUUCCGCGGCUCGUGGCUGAGAAGUUCAUUAAACCCUCCCACCUAGAGGAAGGAGAAGUCGUAACA